GUGCUUGCUUCAGCAGCACAUAUACUAAAAUUGGAACAAUAAAGAGAAGACUAGCAUGGCCCCUGCACAAGGAUGACACACAAAUUUAUGAAGUGUCUCAUAAAAAA
rnacentral:snRNA from 1 species